rnacentral:rRNA from 1 species
UACGUAGGGCGCAAGCGUUGUCCGGAAUUAUUGGGCGUAAAGAGCUCGUAGGCGGCUUGUCACGUCGGAUGUGAAAGCCCGGGGCUUAACUCCGGGUCUGCAUUCGAUACGGGCUGGCUAGAGUGUGGUAGGGGAGAUCGGAAUUCCUGGUGUAGCGGUGAAAUGCGCAGAUAUCAGGAGGAACACCGGCGGCGAAGGCGGAUCUCUGGGCCAUUACUGACGCUGAGGAGCGAAAGCGUGGGGAGCGAACAGG